rnacentral:rRNA from 1 species
CACGUAGGGUGCAAGCGUUGUCCGGAUUCAUUGGGCGUAAAGGGUGCGUAGGCGGCGCGGUAAGUCGGGUGUGAAAUCUCGGAGCUUAACUCCGAAACUGCAUUCGAUACUGCCGUGCUUGAGGACUGGAGAGGAGACUGGAAUUUACGGUGUAGCGGUGAAAUGCGUAGAUAUCGUAAGGAAGACCAGUGGCGAAGGCGGGUCUCUGGACAGUUCCUGACGCUGAGGCACGAAGGCCAGGGGAGCAAACGGG